rnacentral:snRNA from 1 species
AUACCUACCUGGCAGGGGAGAUAUCAUGAUCAUGAAGGUGGUUUUCCCAGGGCGAGGCUUAUCCACUGCACCCCAGAUGUGCUGACCCCUGUGAUUUCCCCAAAUGUGGGAAACUUGACUGCAUAAUUUGUGGUAGUGAUUGAAUGCGUUUGUGCUCUCC